rnacentral:misc_RNA from 1 species
GUUCCGUGGGUGAACCUGCGGAAGGAUCAUUACAGAGUUCAUGCCCUCACGGGUAGAUCUCCCACCCUUGAAUAUUUAUACCUUAGUUGCUUUGGCAGGCCGUGGAAACACCAUGGGCUCCGGCUUAUGCGUGCCUGCCAGAGGAAACAAACUCUGUUUUUAGUGAUGUCUGAGUACUAUAUAAUAGUUAAAACUUUCAACAACGGAUCUCUUGGUUCUG